GUAAGCAAUAAAGUUUUGCCGCAGAAGAUUCUGGUUUGUUGCGUCUUUCCUGGCCGGUCGCGAAAGCGUGUAAGAUAUCCCUCCCUGGGGGAGGGCAUAGCAUCAACGGAGUGUGAUGGAGACUGUUCAUAUCAUAGCUGAGAACACAGAGGGAACCAUGGUCACUGGCGGAUGCAAGAGACCUGUCCCUGAUGUGAUCCAAGCAAGAGGAAACCUGCCCUUCUCAAAAGCACAGAUGGAGGGAGGCCUUGCUGCUUCCUGAAGGAGCAAAGCAUGACUCAUUUUUAUAAAAGUGCAUGUGUGUGCGCUUGUGAUGACAACAUGAAAAACAGCCAUGACCUAAUUUAAAUGUUUAAAAGUAACUCAAAGGAAACAGUUCCAAGUGAAGCGUCCGUUCCCCACCUAACAUCCCUCGUUUUUGACUCUGGGGCUUAUUUAUCGAGAUGCUGUCUUCUGAAGACUUGCGGUGACCUCUGAGCCAUCCAUCACCGGAAGGUGUAGGAAAGGGACGUACUCAGAAAUGCCUGAUGACUUCUAAACGUCCCUCACCUCACGAGACCCCAGACAGCUACCUCUUUUGGUUUCUUCACAACAAAUAACAACUGUUCUUAUUUCCAAUACCAUAAAUCCAUGUUACCCAAUUUUAAAUUGCCUGUAAGUAUCCGUCAUGAUGCUUGCUCAUUUCUUCAGGAUUUGUACACUGGACAUCAUGUCUGUCAGUCGUCCAUUGCCGUGUGAUGCUCUGCUGGGGAAACUUCUCGCUACUUCCUUUAGUUGGUGGAUCUUUGGAUUGCUAGGUUGGGGCUGUCAUGAGUAAUGAGGCUAUGACCUAUUUGAUGUGUCUGUUGUACACACGUGUGAAAACGUCUCCUGAAUACCCAUCAUCAUGGUGAGUUGUGGUAGAAAUCGUGCUAUUUUGCUAACCUCUCCAAAGCCAUUUGAAGUGGUUUCACCGUAAACAAAACCAAAUGCAGAAAUCCCUUAAUAUAAACAGACGUUCAUUCUUCUUCAGAAGUGGCAUGAGCAAACACUUUCAUAGGCAG